rnacentral:tRNA from 1 species
GCUUUUGUAUCAGUGGUAAAAUGCUCGCCUGCCACGCGGGCUCCCAGGUUCGAUUCCCGGCCGAUGCA